CGUGAGACCGUGCGGUCUAACAAAUUUCUGAUAAUAUCGUUAACAAAAACUUAACAGUGCGAUCAACCAAUCGCUAACGUUAACAUAUAAUACCAUAGUGCUUUGAAGUCUAGCAAGUACGGUCUAACAAAAUCUUUUAGUACUGAUAACAAAUUUUAAAAAAAUAAACCAAUCGCUGAUCAUUAUUGAUCCUCCUGACAUCAUUGCUAUCUUCGCCAUCUUUGUUACAGAAAAUUAUUUUCAAAGAUCUUAUUUAUUUUUAUAAGUCCAUGAAACAAAACAGAAAUAUCCAGAUGACAUUCAGAUGACAUUCAGAUUGGUCAUAGUAAUCAGCUGGAAAUUAUAUUGAGGGGACUUCGGCUUGUCAACUUAAAUCACCACGGACCUGCUAGAGCACUAGAUUUUUCAUUACAGAAGAAGUUUAAGAACUGAAUCGUUUCUCUAUAGAGAAAAGGUUGAAAAGCAUUUUAAUUUGAGGAUAUUCCAACCUGAAGCAAGUUGUACCAAUGUUAAUGAUGGAAGACCCUGUUAGAAUACUGUGCAUACCUGGGGCUAAAACUUAAUCAAAGAUGACCUAUGCUGAAGUGGUGAGACUUGCUAUGCAUGUAACAGGAGACCAAACUGAGACCACCUUUGAUAUAAAGUGUAUAGAAAUGAAGAAAUCAAUGGGAGCCCCUGCCAAAAGGAGGAGUGUUGUUACAGAAUAUAAGUUCCCAAUGAAACAGGGUAUAGAUGAGUGAUCUAGUGUUUGAGUUCACUGAGGAUGUGGCUGUCAUCCUAACAAACAAAGGUUUACAUAGUAUUUAUCAGGCAACAUUCAGACAGUCAGAUAUUCUACAUUUCGGAUACGGAAUAAAGAAAUUGCUGUUGAGGAAGAGAGGAGUUUCUGUGACGAGAUUGAUACACAUAGAGCAUUUGAGUGUAAUGAAGUUGUGAGUAGUAUUUUAACCAAAAGAACAUCUACCCUAACAACAGUGAAGAUUAAAGGGAUCAGUUGCUGUAUGGUGAUAUUGAAAGAAAUCCAGGACCUACAAUGGUUUAUGAAGACUUCUUAGAGCUUGCCAUAUAAGUGUCAACAAUUUUAAAGAACAGAGAAGACUAUUAUUGCACUUAGUUAUGAGUUUUUGUUUUAUAUUUUAUCACUAUGAUAGACUAAUGUUAAAUUCAGGAAUUGUAUUUUUCUGAUAUAUCUGUUUUGUAAUUACGUUUUACUCAUUUUUAAAUACGUUUGAGACGUUUUUUUUAUACCUUUUCCUACUUGAGUAGCAUUGACAACUAUUUUAAGUUUUUAGUAAGGUUACUUUCUUUGGGUUUUGUAUUUUAUAAUAUUAAGAUGUCAUACUUGAAUACCUUGUAGUUAUGAACUGUGUAUUUUACUUCUUGAUUCUUUGAUAUGUGUAGUAUUAUUCUCC